GGAAUUUUGGACAAUGGGGGCAACCCUGAUCCAGCCAUCCCGCGUGUGCGAUGAAGGCCUUCGGGUUGUAAAGCACUUUUGGCAGGGAAGAAAAGGCGCCGGAUAAUACCUGGCGCUGCUGACGGUACCUGCAGAAUAAGCACCGGCUAACUACGUGCCAGCAGCCGCGGUAAUACGUAGGGUGCAAGCGUUAAUCGGAAUUACUGGGCGUAAAGCGUGCGCAGGCGGUUCGGAAAGAAAGAUGUGAAAUCCCAGGGCUUAACCUUGGAACUGCAUUUUUAACUGCCGGGCUAGAGUAUGUCAGAGGGGGGUAGAAUUCCACGUGUAGCAGUGAAAUGCGUAGAGAUGUGGAGGAAUACCGAUGGCGAAGGCAGCCCCCUGGGAUAAUACUGACGCUCAUGCACGAAAGCGUGGGGAGCAAACAG
rnacentral:rRNA from 1 species